UUAUAUACUAGUCAAUUAUAU
rnacentral:piRNA from 1 species